CUUGCGGAGAAAAAAAAACGCAUGCGCAUGCCAGACAGGCGCAUGCACCUGAGAGAAACCGUUGGUAUAGUUGAUUCAAAUGUAUCUGCGCGGGAGAGUGAGGAGACUGAGGAGUCGAUGCUGAAGUACGACGACAGAAGUUCAGACAUCAUUUCCAAACAGAUUUUUCUUAAUUUAAGUUAUGCCAAACAUCGUAGGUCAGACUCAACGGAACGGCUAACGUUACUACUUUCACAGUUUAGAAGAAGUCCAUGCAGUGCCGCUUCUGCAAGUUUUCAUCACCUCACCAAGACCUAAUUUUCAAGCACUACAGAACUUGCCA